UUUCUGGGCGAGGGAGACGGAGAGGGAGAGGGAGUUGGAGAGCGGUAGGGAUCGGACCGGGACGAGCUGGAAUGCGAAGGCUGGUAGGUCAACGUCUCGAUCUUGACUCGCAGUUUCUCUCUGGCGUUCACUGAGUAGGCGACGAAGCCGAAGCAGUUGGAGGGGGACCCCGAGGACCGAGACUCCAGGUCGUCACCUUCGUUCAUGGUCUUCUUCACGGAUUUGCGGCCAGGGGAGGAUCCCCGCUUCCCGCCCCCGGGGUGGUUGGGAUAAUCCACUUUGAGAGCAGCCCUUUCCCACAGAAAGGUCCCGAAAGUCGGCGCCCCGCCCCUUGGGCCCCCGUCUGGAUCUCAGGGCCUAGCCGAGGGGGGCCAUCCCUCUCCAAGGACAGGGCUAGGAGGAGCGGGGGAUGGGGACAUCCGCCAGAGGGACAGCGUGCCGCUGCUGCCCCUGUCCGGCCGGCCAGUCCUCUCCACCCGCCGCGCCCGCCGGCCAUGCCGCAUCCCGGGCUCCCCAUUGUUCAGUCACAGGGGUAGGCCCCCGGGAGCCCGCGGCGGGAGCGGGCCGCAACACAGACGCUCACUGCCCCUCGCCUCCGCGCAGGCGGCUAACCGCGACGACCGCCCCAGGGCCCGCCUCCGCGGAGGAAGAGAGCGAGGCUCCAGCAGGGGACCACUCCAUCCACCACGCACACCACAUGGCCGAGCCGGGGGCGCCGGGCCCGGGCAGUGCCUCCACAGCUCGCCCUGCCGAGCGACAUCCAGGGGGCGGCGCUUGGGGCUGCAAGCAGCUGAAGGAAGAUCAAAACAACUCCCCGCCCUUCUCGAAGCCCUGGCGACUCGCGCGCCCCGCCAUCGCCGACCCAGACCCUCCGGGAGGCACGGGCGGCGGAAGCAAGCGGGAGGGCCCGCAGGCCGGGGCGCAGAGUAGAGGCUGGAGGUGGGAAGGGGCCGAACCGAGCUCAGCCGAUCGGUCAGAGCGCGGCGGCUCGCGACACUUCCGAGCCCCCCGGGCCGGCCAGGCGCUUACCUGGGCGGCGAGCAGGCGGCAGGGUGGGCAGGCCGCGAGAGCGAGGUGCGGAGAGGAGAGGCGAGGAGGCCGGAAGAACUGCUUACACAGCCGGCUCUUCUCCCAUUCUCGACUCUGCAAGGCCGUUUGCGGCCCCGCACGCUUUAUCUGCAGCCGGGGCCGCCCCCGGCGCCCUGAUUGGCUCCCAGAGGCCCGGAACCCGGGCGGAUCAGCUGAUGCGCGUCCCGGCAACUCGGCCAUUGGGCGAGCCGCCGAGCGGGCGCCGCCGGGGUGGGGGCGACCCGGCCCGGGAAAGAAAGAAAGGGAAAGGGCGGUGGGGGAAGGGGGUGUGGGGGAGGGGAGCGAGGAAGGGCGGGGCGGCGGCGGCGGCGGCGGCGGCGGCGGAGGGCCCAGUGCCUGCCGGGAAGGACCCCGCCGGCCUGGGCUGCCGCGCAGCGACGCGGCGACCCCGCCCGCCCGGCCUGGGGCCGGCCCCGCAGCCCAGUAUUGCAUUCAGAAGGGAUCCUGGCGGGCGGAGACACAAGUCGGGAGACCUGAUUCUGCCUCUGCCACACCUGAGGCAAUUCUCGCAGCCUCUGGGCCCAAGUUCCCUCAUCUAUAAAUAAAGCGGAACUUCCCUGGUGGUGCAGUGGUUAAGAAUCCGCCUGCCAAUGCAGGGGACACAGGUUCGAGCCCUGGUCCGGGAAGAUACCACAUGCCGCGGAGCAACUAAGCCCAUGCGCCACAACUACUGAGCCUGCGCUCCAGAGCCCGUGAGCCACAACUACUGAGCCUGCACCCUACAGCCCACGAGCCACAACUACUGAGCCCGUGAGCCACAACUACUGAACACCACGCGCCUAGAGCCCGUGCUCUGCAAUAAGAGAAGCCACUGCAAUGAGAAGCCCGCGCACCGCAACAAAGAGUAGCACCCGCUCUCUGCAACUAGAGAAAGCCCGUGCGCAGCAGCAAAGACCCAACGCAGCCGAAAAUAAAAUAAAAUAAAUUAAUUAAAAAAAUAAAAUAGAGUGGUUCAAGAAAGGACCUUAAGAGUCGCCCAUCAGAUCUGAAAUUCUGUUCAGUAAAGCGGUUCAAGAAAGGACCUUAAGAGUCGCCCAUCAGAUUUGAAAUUCUGUGUGCAAACUGUUUCCCGAGGACAGCUGAAAGGAAGGUGAAGUCUUGGCAUCUCCUCUUCGAAGCUCAGGAUUGAGUUGGCUGCAAGAGAAGUUUACAAGAGAACCUAAAGAUGGAAAUGAAGCAACCUAAGACACUCUGAAGGUGUAGGGUGCCAGGCGCCACUGCAGUUCACGUAUUCAGUUACUGAUCUGCUGGCUCAACUCCUUGGCAUGGACAGCCAGGCCUACAGCUCCCUCAGCUACUCUUUGUGCGAAGGGCACCAGCUGCUUCUGCAGGCCACCUGCCACUGAAGUAUGAGGUGAUGAGGGGAAGACAGAGGCUUCAGUCUAUCUUCAUAAGCUGCAGUUUGUCCUUGCUCUUCCCCAACUUCGUGUAAUGUACUUCUUCCUGACUGCUGCCAAUUUGAGCUGAAAUGGCCUCCACCCCAUCACACAGAGAGGCAAGAGCCUUCCAUAGACUUCCUCACUACAAAUGUGUAAGGUCUAAUAUCCAUAAGAAAUCCAUAUUCCCAUGAUCUAUCCCUAACUGAUGCAAGGCAUUAAGGUGUAAUCCCUAAAAUGUAGAUACCGUUGAGAGGAGUGACUCCAGUGUGCUAGUGUUGGCCAUUUGGAUUUUAAUGUGAAUUAGCCCAUCAGCUUCAUUUAUCUAUGACUCUGCUAGUGUCUAAUGCACCUCAGAAGACAGAGUCCUAGGUAUUGGGUAACAGCCAGCUGAGUAUAAGGCAGAGAGGAUGGUGAAAAACAAAGUACAGAUAAUGUGAAGCUCAUAGUGGUUCUGGGUUUACUGUGGAAGGUACAUGGAAUAGGAAUUUCUCUGGGGGUGAUAAUAAUGCUGAGGGGAGAAGUUCACUGCUCAACGUGAAUGGUGCUGACAUCACAGUCUUCUGCAUAAUCAUCUGUCCUUACGGUACAAGUAAUGCUGUGGGGCAGAGAGGCAGCACCUGUAUGCUGACAGUGCCCCUAGUGAAGAGGAGGAGAACUUACGCACAGGUCACAGCACUGCCUCUGAGACUUCACUCCUACCCAACUACCUACACUUCCACAAGUCCACUUAAUUCCAGAAAAAGUUAAAUCUUUCUGCCCUUGAGGAUGACAGUAAUUCAGAUUUCUUCUUGCUAUUUAGAGGUUUGGUGGGGCUAGGGAUUUGAGUGUGAAGGGAAAUUAGAAAAGCGAAACUUAAUUCAGCUUUCUGGGGGAAUUUUCUAACUUUAAAUUUUAAAGUUAAGUAUUUUUAUUCAAUUAAUAUACAGUCCUUAUAGAAAAGUCAGAUAAAAUGCAUCAGCAAAAAGAAGAACAUUACACAAUCUGGAGGUGACCAUUGUUACCACUGAGGUGUAGAAACACAGUUCUAAGAAAGCAGCAUGAAGAAUGGAAAAUGCAUCGAUGGAAGUCAGAAAUCUGCCUUCUCACUCCAGUUCCCCUUGAUUUGCUGCAUGUCAUACCCCUCAUCUAAAAAAAACUGAGUGUUCAACUUAACUUUCUAUUAAAGUGAAAAUAAAAGGGCAUGAAUAUGGUUGCACAGAAGUGAACAUGUUUAUCUUUUGUCUUCUCCCUUUUGGUGAAUUACCAAAACACUGGGAGAGCUCUGUAGUGCUCAAUGCUCA